AUAGAAACUGGCGACUUCGCUGGUCUGCGAAACCAGAGAUUCUGGGUUCGAUCCCCAGU
rnacentral:tRNA from 1 species